rnacentral:rRNA from 1 species
UGGCUCAGGAUGAACGCUGGCGGCGUGCCUAACACAUGCGAGUCGAGCGAUUACUUCGGUAAAGAGCGGCGGACGGGUGAGUAACGCGUGGGUAACCUGCCUCAUACACAUGGAUAACAUACCGAAAGGUAUGCUAAUACAGGAUAAUAUAAGAGAUUCACAUGGAUUUCUUAUCAAAGCUCCGGCGGUAUGAGAUGGACCCGCGUCUGAUUAGCUAGUUGGUAAGGUAAUGGCUUACCAAGGCGACGAUCAGUAGCCGACCUGAGAGGGUGAUCGGCCACAUUGGAACUGAGACACGGUCCAAACUCCUACGGGAGGCAGCAGUGGGGAAUAUUGCACAAUGGGCGAAAGCCUGAUGCAGCAACGCCGCGUGAGUGAUGAAGGCCUUCGGGUCGUAAAACUCUGUCCUCAAGGAAGAUAAUGACGGUACUUGAGGAGGAAGCCCCGGCUAACUACGUGCCAGCCGCCGC